UGGGGAAUAUUGGACAAUGGGCGAAAGCCUGAUCCAGCCAUGCCGCGUGUGUGAAGAAGGUCUUCGGAUUGUAAAGCACUGUAAGUUGGGAGGAAGGGCAGUAAAUUAAUACUUUGCUGUUUUGACGUUACCGACAGAAUAAGCACCGGCUAACUCUGUGCCAGCAGCCGCGGUAAUACAGAGGGUGCAAGCGUUAAUCGGAAUUACUGGGCGUAAAGCGCGCGUAGGUGGUUUGUUAAGUUGGAUGUGAAAGCCCCGGGCUCAACCUGGGAACUGCAUUCAAAACUGACAAGCUAGAGUAUGGUAGAGGGUGGUGGAAUUUCCUGUGUAGCGGUGAAAUGCGUAGAUAUAGGAAGGAACACCAGUGGCGAAGGCGACCACCUGGACUGAUACUGACACUGAGGUGCGAAAGCGUGGGGAGCAAACA
rnacentral:rRNA from 1 species